rnacentral:lncRNA from 12 species
CUGCGCUCAAUGGAAAAUUGCUGGGCAGGCUUCUGAGAUCAAGAAGCGCUUGGAGGACAGCACUUCAGAUCGGGCAUGGCACUCCCAGCCGUGACACCGAACCUCGGCACGGCACCGAACUUCGGCAUGGCACCAACCUCAGCACGGCACCGAACCUCAGCAUGGCACCAACCUCAGCACGGCACUGAACCUCAGCACGGCACUGAAACUCAGAACGGCACUGAAACUCAGAACGGCCUCAGCCUCAGCACAGCACCGAACCUCGACACGGCACGGAACCUCAGCACGGCACCGAACCUCGGCACGGCACCGAACCUCGGCACAGCCGCGGGCCCCAGAGCCCCGUCCUGCUGCACCCUCUCUGCUCUCACACCACUGCCAGGAUCUCCUCUCAUCCUUCCCCACGCCACUCCCAGCACCCAAGCAGCUCAAAGCAAAGAAGCAGACGGGCAGAGCACCCACGUACAGGGACUCCCGACGGCUGCCGGGGUCCUCUCAGACGGCGGCACCCAGUCGCUGCCGCGUUCUCCGGCGGCGGGCACCAGCCAGCUGCCCGCCCCGCCCGGCUCUCCCGGAGCCAACUUUGCGGAGGGGCGGCUGUUUGAAAAGCGCCUGCCGCCUUUGUUUGGCUGGGGCAGAGCCAGCAGGGGCUGCCGGGAAGGUCACCCGGGAGGACAGCGAGGUACCGGGCGGGCGGAGCGCUGCUCGUAACCCUUUCGGGGCAGGAGGCGCGCCCCGCAGGCACAGAGCCGCGGCCCCGGCGGGGCCGGUCGCGCCGUGCCGGGGCGUGGAGCGGGAGCCUGGC